UACGUAGGGUGCAAGCGUUGUCCGGAAUUAUUGGGCGUAAAGAGCUCGUAGGCGGUCUGUCGCGUCGGCUGUGAAAACCCGGAGCUCAACUCCGGGCCUGCAGUCGAUACGGGCAAACUGGAGUGUUGCAGGGGAGACUGGAAUUCCUGGUGUAGCGGUGAAAUGCGCAGAUAUCAGGAAGAACACCCGUGGCGAAGGCGGCUCUCUGGGACGGUACUGACGCUGAGACGCGAAAGCGUGGGGAGCAAACAGG
rnacentral:rRNA from 1 species